CUGACUCGUUCCUUCGCCGUCGUUCCUGUGUCGGACGGUCGUCGGGGUGAUCCGCCUGGGCUCGUGGAACGUGUUACUGGUGGAUCGGCACUGGGACUGCCUCGGACGUCGUCUGAAUUCCUCGCCGGAGCUCAACCGAUCCCACCAUUCCGCCACUCGCCGUGGUCGGGUUCGUCUGCGACAAACUGCGAGGUCGAGCCAUAUAUAAAGAUGUAUAAGGAAGAGUUAGAGAAUGAAGGGAUUGUUAAUGUGGAAAAAAACCAUUCAGAAGCACUUUUCCUCAUGGGGCUACGCUACCCCACAACCCCACCCCACGCCCGUCUUCCUCGCCUCAACGCCACCACCCAAUCCAACCGCCUGGACCGCUGGACGCCACCGCCCUGCCCCUCCUCGGCGCCGCCGAUCCAUCCAACUGCCUCAACGUCGCCAUCCAUCCAACCUCCUCGGUGUCUCCUCCUCACUUACUGGAAGGAUGGAUGGGGCAAGGACACACAAAGACCUUGGUGGUAA
rnacentral:misc_RNA from 1 species